UACGUAGGGCGCAAGCGUUGUCCGGAAUUAUUGGGCGUAAAGAGCUCGUAGGCGGCUUGUCACGUCGGUUGUGAAAGCCCGGGGCUUAACCCCGGGUCUGCAGUCGAUACGGGCAGGCUAGAGUUCGGUAGGGGAGAUCGGAAUUCCUGGUGUAGCGGUGAAAUGCGCAGAUAUCAGGAGGAACACCGGUGGCGAAGGCGGAUCUCUGGGCCAUUACUGACGCUGAGGAGCGAAAGCGUGGGGAGCGAACAGG
rnacentral:rRNA from 1 species